AGAGAGAGAAUAUAUGGGAGGGAAAAAAGGAACAUCCAAAUUCUAAAUACAAGACAAAAAAGAAAAAAUACGAAAUGCGACCAACAACUGGAGGACAUAGUAAAAAAACAGAUGUUGCAGGUGUUCGGGGUGUAAAAAGUGCCUAAGGGAGGGAGAGAGCCCGAUACAAGGGAGGGAGGAAGAGAGGUGGACGGAAGUGAGUCUUACCACCAAGGGCCGGCGUCGACAAGAAGGUUCCUGUAGUUGGAGUGAUGGCUGGGGAGACAAGUGGGCGGCGUCACCUGGGGCACUCCCUCACCUGCCAGCAUGUCAGCAGGUGCAGCGCGCCACACACCGCCGCCACUCACAGCGCCACACACACUGCCCAGCCGCCUCUGGCACCCUCCCGCCUCCCGACAAUGGCACACCCAACACCUUCAGCAGGGGUUACCUUACCUGCCAGGACACAAGGAGGCUGCCUGGACCAUUUGGGAUAACAGUUACAUUCUCAGGGCUGUGGUCAGGUGGCAGGCCAGGUGAUGCACACUCAGUUG